rnacentral:rRNA from 1 species
UACAGAGGUCUCAAGCGUUGUUCGGAUUCAUUGGGCGUAAGAGCGCGUAGGCGGAUUGCUAAGUCAGGGGUGAAAUCCUGGAGCUCAACUCCAGAACUGCCUUUGAUACUGGUGAUCUUGAGUCCGGGAGAGGUGAGUGGAACUGCGAGUGUAGAGGUGAAAUUCGUAGAUAUUCGGAAGAACACCAGUGGCGAAGGCGGCUCACUGGACCGGCAUUGACGCUGAUGUGCGAAAGCGUGGGGAGCAAACAGG